CCGCUCCUGAGCCCGUGGUGGGGAUGGGCCCUGGGAGUCGGCUGCAUUUUUCUGCGAGGCGCCAUUUUGUGCGGGCACUGCCCCGUGACCCGCGUCGUGUGUCGCGGGCGGGGCAGGAGCAGGCCGCGCCGCCUUUUGAGGGCUUGGCCCCCUGUGGCCUGUGACCCUGUCGAGGCGGCAAUCACGACGUCGGAUUUGUUUCCGUACGCUGGAAGCGGGCGCUGGGCUCCCUCGGGAUGCUCGGGAAGGAGGUCGGGCCCUGCCCUCCAGUGGUCGUCGGUCUCCACCCUGCAGCCCCGCGGCGGUGUCCUCCUGUCCCCGACAGGCCCCGCCACCCUGCAGCCCCGCGCCAGGGCGCGGUGUCCCCUUGUUCUCCCCGUGUCCUGGGCGCCCGCCUCCGCCUCAACCCUACACCGCUUCCCUCGUGCAUGAGGCCCGAGCUCCUGCAGCAGGGGCCCCACAGUUGUGGUCGUAAGCGGCACCCUUGAAGGUCCCGCCACGCCCUGGCGAACCCCACCUGACCCUCAGGCUCAGCCAGCGGGUUGCCGGGGAUUCUGGCCCGAGGGGUGCACAAGGACACUGAGGGAAGCAAGGGCUCGGGUGGGGGGCCUCUCGCCUGCCCCCUCCCAACCCCCAGCAGAGACAAGGCCCAGGCGGUAUGUAGCCAAGUCCAGUCCUGCUGCAAGGAUGCAUCCGAAAGACACAACCGUGCCGAUUGUGGUGGUCAUGAUGCAGCACACACGCCAUCCUCGGUCCAUUGCAGCGGCCACCCUGUCUGGAGGAGCCCCUGGAGGCUCUGAACAGAACGUGACCGCACCUGACGUCCAGAUGAGAACAGAGAGUGGGACAAGGAGGUGAUGGUAGCAUGGAGGUGGGCACGAUGGCGGUGCUGAGCAGGUUUGUGGCCGUCGGCGUCAGGAGGGGGGGUCGCCUACCUCUGGGGGUCACCUUAAAAUUGGGGUCGACAGACCGUUUCUGUAAAAUAAAGGCUUUCAGCUCUGUGGACCUCG